rnacentral:rRNA from 1 species
CCUUCCAGUAUCCAGUAGUGGGUAUUCAGUUACUUACUAUUGUGUGUUGGUCGUUUACUGUGAGAAAAUUAGAGUGUUCAAAGCAGGCGUUUGCUUGAAUAGAUUAGCAUGGAAUAAUAAUUGAAGGCUUUCGUGUUCGAUUUGAUUGGUUUGUUCAUGGAAGCAAGGUUAAAAGGAACAGUUGGGGGUAUUCAUAUUCACUAGUUAGAGGUGAAAUUCUCGGAUUUAUGGAAGAUGAACAAGUGCGAAAGCAUUUACCAAGGAUGUUUUCAUUAAUCAAGAACGAAAGCUAGGGGAUCGAAGAGG